rnacentral:lncRNA from 10 species
GUUACUUAGCAACAGAUAACUGGAAUAGUGCUCUUGAAACAGGGUCUCGCCAUGUUGCCCAGGCUGGUCUCAAACUCCUGGACUCAAGCAAUCCUCCCACCUCAGCCUCCCAAAGUGCUGGGAUUACAGGCAUGAGUCACCACAGCCAGCCCAGUACCUGCUUUUAAGGAGCUCAUACCGACCAGAGUUCAAGCAAAAAAAAAAAAAAAAAAAAAAGCUCUUCUACAGGUCUACUUAAACUUUGAAAGAUGAGAUUGUUCAAAAAUGACACGAGAAAAUCACCCAUCACCACUAAGUUAAAGACUUGAAUAUGUGAGAGUUCCAGAGCCUCAAACUCCUACUACAGUCACUGAUCCAUAACAUUUUCCUCUUGCAAUGGACUCCACGCCAAAGUAGCUCAGUCUUGC